rnacentral:tRNA from 1 species
AACUGAUUAGUCUAAAAAAGACAAUUGUUUUGAAAACAAUUAAUGGAUAUUAACACAACCAUCAGUUU